GACGAACGCUGGCGGCGUGCUUAACACAUGCAAGUCGAACGGAAAGGCCCUGCUUUUGUGGGGUGCUCGAGUGGCGAACGGGUGGGUAACACGUGAGUAACCUGCCCUUGACUUUGGGAUAACUUCAGGAAACUGGGGCUAAUACCGGAUAGGAGCUCCUGCUGCAUGGUGGGGGUUGGAAAGUUUCGGCGGUUGGGGAUGGACUCGCGGCUUAUCAGCUUGUUGGUGGGGUAGUGGCUUACCAAGGCUUUGACGGGUAGCCGGCCUGAGAGGGUGACCGGCCACAUUGGGACUGAGAUACGGCCCAGACUCCUACGGGAGGCAGCAGUGGGGAAUAUUGCACAAGGGGCGGAAGCCUGAUGCAGCAACGCCGCGUGCGGGAUGACGGCCUUCGGGUUGUAAACCGCUUUCGCCUGUGACGAAGCGUGAGUGACGGUAAUGGGUAAAGAAGCACCGGCUAACUACGU
rnacentral:rRNA from 1 species